rnacentral:rRNA from 1 species
AACGAACGCUGGCGGCAGGCUUAACACAUGCAAGUCGAACGCAUCGCAAGCUGAGUGGCAGACGGGUGAGUAACGCGUGGGAACAUACACUUUUCUACGGAAUAGCCCUGGGAAACUGGAAUUAAUACCGUAUACGCCCUACGGGGGAAAGAUUUAUCGGGGAAGGAUUGGCCCGCGUUGGAUUAGCUAGUUGGUGGGGUAAAGGCCUACCAAGGCGACGAUCCAUAGCUGGUCUGAGAGGAUGAUCAGCCACAUUGGGACUGAGACACGGCCCAAACUCCUACGGGAGGCAGCAGUGGGGAAUAUUGGACAAUGGGCGCAAGCCUGAUCCAGCCAUGCCGCGUGAGUGAUGAAGGCCUUAGGGUUGUAAAGCUCUUUCACCGAUGAAGAUAAUGACGGUAGUCGGAGAAGAAGCCCCGGCUAACUUCGUGCCAGCAGCCGCAGUAACAC